rnacentral:rRNA from 1 species
UCAGUUCGGACUGCAGGCUGCAACUCGCCUGCACGAAGUUGGAAUUGCUAGUAAUCGUGGAUCAGCAUGCCACGGUGAAUACGUUCCCGGGUCUUGUACACACCGCCCGUCACACCAUGGGAGCCGGUAAUACCCGAAGUCAGUAGUCUAACCGCAAGGAGGACGCUGCCGAAGGUAGGAUUGGCGACUGGGGUGAAGUCGUAACAAGGUACC